ACGAACGCUGGCGGCAGGCCUAACCCCUGCAAGUCGAGCGCCCUUUCGGGGGAGCGGCGGACGGGUGAGUAACGCGUGGGAAUAUGCCCUUCUCUACGGAAUAGCCUCGGGAAACUGAGAGUAAUACCGUAUACGCCCUGUGGGGGAAAGAUUUAUCGGGGAAGGAUUAGCCCGCGUUGGAUUAGGUAGUUGGUGGGGUAAUGGCCUACCAAGCCGACGAUCCAUAGCUGGUUUGAGAGGAUGAUCAGCCACACUGGGACUGAGACACGGCCCAGACUCCUACGGGAGGCAGCAGUGGGGAAUCUUAGACAAUGGGGGCAACCCUGAUCUAGCCAUGCCGCGUGAGUGAUGAAGGCCUUAGGGUUGUAAAGCUCUUUCAGCUGGGAAGAUAAUGACGGUACCAGCAGAAGAAGCCCCGGCUAACUCCGUG
rnacentral:rRNA from 1 species